CUGGUCAACCAGUCUUUGAUAGAUCACUACUUUGAAAGUAGUAGAAAUUGGCAUAAUUACCAAUGUUGAC
rnacentral:tRNA from 1 species